rnacentral:rRNA from 1 species
UACGGGAGGCAGCAGUGAGGAAUAUUGGUCAAUGGGCGGAAGCCUGAACCAGCCAAGUAGCGUGAGGGAAGACUGCCCUACGGGUUGUAAACCUCUUUUGUUUGGGAAUAAAGUGCGGGACGUGUCCCGCAUUGCAUGUACCAUUUGAAUAAGGACCGGCUAAUUCCGUGCCAGCAGCCGCGGUAAUA